GUUAAAAAAUUUGCCCCACUGAACAAGCCCGAUCCCGUCUGAUCUCGGAAGCUAAGCAGGGUGGGGCCUGGUUAGUACUUGGAUGGGAGACCACCUAGGAAGACCAGAUGCUGUAGGCG
rnacentral:rRNA from 1 species